UUUUUUUCUUUUGGAGAAAGUUGGAUUUGUUGGGGAGAACAAAGACGUAGGGCAACUGAAAGAAAUAACAUCAAGGGAAUAUUUCGAAUAUAGGAGGCUGUAGAAAAUGUUUACAUGCUGAGGAGAGUGGUCCACUCAAGGCGGAGACUGAUGAGGGGGAAAGAAAAUGACUGACUUAAGGUAUUCAGUCUGAAAGAGUAAGGGGAUGAGGUUCAGAGUACACGUGGGCAGAAACUGCCACGGGAUGUGAAGGAAGAAGAAAGUGAAGGCUGGAGAUGGAGGUAUGUUUGCAAGUUUGGGAAUGGAAAGUUCCUAACAGUUUCUAUCUUCUCACUGAAGUAAGACACAAAGUUUCGAGCUUAGAAUGAAGGAUGGAGAAAAGGUUUGAUACAAGUGGAGAAAAAAAGAGGUUGUUCUCAUGAGGAGUAGGAGAGUGAGCUGAAAUAGUAGGCUAGUCAUGGAGCAAGCACAUAUGAAGGGGUGGUCAGGAGUCCAAAAUGAGACCAGCAUGACCCAUUGUGUGGUUUCCAGCAAAGCUCAACUAAUAGGUAAAAGCCUGGGUACAUCAGGGGAGUGGGUGCAUCCAUGGCAUGACUAUUGCCUGCUGGAUGCAAUGGGUCUUUUUAGGGCCGCACCUGCAGCAUGUGGAGGUUAUGGGAUUCAGAGAGUGGGAUCACUCUCUGAUUGUGGAAGUGGUUCAGUUUCUGAAUAACUAGCUCCUGGACAUCUAAGAACUAAUGGCUGAGGUCAAAUGGAGGAUUUUUUCCGGAUAUAAAUAAGGAAGGUAUUGAUGGAUCAUCUGUUGGCAUACUGGAGUAAUCAAGGAUGGAGAUAAGAAUUGUAAUAGGGAUAUUUAUGGGACCCAAUGGAAGAGCCAACCAAAGUCCUGUAGGAAAUAGAGUCCAGCUCUUUUCUCGGUGAUCCGUGUCUGAGUAGAUUGUAUAUACUUAGAGUUGCUAGUGGCUUUCUUCACCACUGCAUGGAUAGAGCCUCCUUAAAUAUUAACUCAACACCAGAGGAAAACAGAGAUGAGAAAGGGGAAAGAGACAAGGGCCUGGGCAUAACCUUUGAUCCCCUGAAUCUACACUUUCUGAAGUCUGACUGCCCCUGGUGUGUCAAGCUAGCCUAAGAGAUUAUUUUAUUUUUUGUCACUGGCAAGCACAAAGCAUAAACUAAUAUGGAUGGAUCUGUGUCACAAAAAGGAAGUAUAUGGAAAUGGAACAGAUUUGUUGUUUACCCACGCAAUAGUCAUUCUUCCAUUUUUCUUUGCUGGCAGAAUGGUUACCCAUGCCUGCACUGCAGUUCUCAAAGAAAGGUCUAAGUCAAUCACUGCUAUUGCAGUCUCCUUGACAGUGAUGCUGAUAAAAUUUGCAGGAAAAUCUACUGGAGAGGGGAAUAUAGAGGGGUACUGUGCCUCGUUUCAUGGCGUUUUUUUUAACAAAUUCUUCAAUUUGUCACAACCCUGUGUCGAGCCAGUCUGGAGGUACCAUUUUUCCAAAGGUAUUUGCUUUGUAUCUGUCAUAUUU
rnacentral:lncRNA from 1 species